AAUCAACGCUGGCGGCGUGCCUCAGACAUGCAAGUCGAACGCGAAAGGUUCCUUCGGGAACCGAGUAGAGUGGCGCACGGGUGAGUAACACGUAGGUAAUUUGCCUUUGGGUGGGGAAUAACAGCCGGAAACGGCUGCUAAUACCGCAUAAUGCAGCGGCUCGACUAUCGAGACAGUUGUUAAAGCGGGGGAUCGCAAGACCUCGCGCCUAAAGAGAAGCCUGCGGCAGAUUAGCUAGUUGGUAGGGUAAUGGCCUACCAAGGCGACGAUCUGUAACCGGCCUGAGAGGGCGGUCGGUCACACUGACACUGACAUACGGGUCAGACUCCUACGGGAGGCAGCAGUCGGGAAUUUUGGGCAAUGGGCGAAAGCCUGA
rnacentral:rRNA from 1 species